CAAGCUUUGAUCCCUCACGACAGUGAUAAUUUGGACCAGGAAGUUGUGUAGAGUAGAAUGUGAUGAUCCGAAGGAACUGACAAGCAGCUAAGAAAGCCAAGACCCUGCACCAUAUCAGAACUGUAUAGAUCUUUUUGAUCUUGAAAAUGAAAGGAUGGAAUGUCCACAAGACAAAAGACAGAAAGAGGGUGGUGAAUACAGUUUCACUUAUAUAACCUUUAUCUUGCCCAAGCUCCGGAAGAAGAAAGAAGCCGACAUCCUGAAGAGUACGUCCAGGCCGAUGUAUGUAGUGAACCCCUCGAGCAGCGAAUCCAUGUAUGUACUGAAAUAUCAAACCUCCAAGAAUAUACUUCCAUUUCUCUGAAAGAAGAUUGAUUUCUAUUCCACUCUCCGUACAAAUCCUCUUCCAUAUCUUUGAAGCCUCUCGACCAAUGUAAAACGACAUCGUUGUGACCCGUUAACUGCGAUUACACUCGUCGUUAUUGUAAAAUUGAAUUUAUCUUAAGCUUUAAUUGAG
rnacentral:misc_RNA from 1 species